rnacentral:rRNA from 1 species
GACGAACGCUGGCGGCGUGCCUAAUACAUGCAAGUCGAACGCUUCUUUCCUCCCGAGUGCUUGCACUCCAUUGGAAAGAGGAGUGGCGGACGGGGGAGUAACACGUGGGUAACCUACCCAUCAGAGGGGGAUAACACUUGGAAACAGGUGCUAAUACCGCAUAACAGUUUAUGCCGCAUUGCAUAAGAGUGAAGGGCGCUUUCGGGUGUCGCUGAUGGAUGGACCCGCGGUGCAUUAGCUAGUUGGUGAGGUAACGGCUCACCAAGGCAACGAUGCAUAGCCGACCUGAGUGGGUGAUCGGCCACACUGGGACUGAGACACGGCCCAGACUCCUACGGGAGGCAGCAGUAGGGAAUCUUCGGCAGUGGACGAAAGUCUGACCGAGCAACGCCGCGUGAGUGAAGAAGGUUUUCGGAUCGUAAAACUCUGUUGUUAGAGAAGAACAAGGACGUUAGUAACUGAACGUCCCCUGACGGUAUCUAACCAGAAAGCCACGGCUAACUACGUG